UGUUUAUUUGGAAGCUGGACGGAUGUACCCCCAAGAGCAAAGAGUCAAAAGAGUAAGGAGCAAAGAGUAACCAACUACAGGAUACUGUCCUGUGCAGGCAGUGUGGGUGUGUUGUUGAGUGGAAAUAUUCUGUUCCAAUUUCUGAGAGGAAUGGCCAAAGGAAAACAAAACAGAAAACACGGCACACACCCACAAGUAAGAUGAUUUAGUGCCAGCCCAAGUAUUCAUGCACCAACCCAGCCUCUGGAAUGGGGUGGAGGGACCCAGCAUGUGUUUCUUCCCCAGGGAUCGUGGCUGAGGGAGUCUACGUGACACAUUGCCCGAGCUGAAGGGAGAAGAUGCUGAUGACUGGCCACUGACAAUCAUGGUCGGGAUUUGAUAAAACCUCUUCAUGGGCGUAUCCCUCUGUAUGUGGUGGAACGAAGGAGGAGUUCUGAAGCUAGACCAGGUGAAGCUCUCGGCAAGACUGUAGAGUGUCUGUGCGACCAUGAACAAGGUGUUCCAUACCCAGCAUCUCCAUUUGUGAAGCAGAGAGGCACAAUGGACUCCUGUACCCCAGGCCCAAUUAAGCUUCAACUACAGUGUGUACCAUGGGCAGGUCCAGAGCCGCUGCUUCACAUUUGGUGGAAGACACAGGAUCAGAGUUUGUAAAGCCCAGAGGGCCAGGAGAUGGGAUUGGAGCCCGAGCCCCCUGGCUGACUGGGCCUCCUCCCCUCUGCAAGCCUACAUCCCUGCAGGAUAAGAAGAGCAGGAUGCUCAGUCCUGGGUCUGUUGCAGGCUCGCGGUUAUGUGUGCUAGCCCCACACUUUCUGCGCUAGAGCCUCCGCGUACAGAUGUGCUGUUUCUCCUCAGUAUGUGUUUCUUCCACACCCACAUCCCAGAAUAUUUUCCCGGGUUAAUAUGUCUGGCUAAGGAGGUUUGUGGCGAAAGACACCAAACAGGAAAUGAAAUGGCUGCCAUAA